CAAACUCUCUUACUUAUACUCAGUUACAUUGUACAACUAUAAGUUCACCUUAAGUAUACUUCUUAAUGAUGCAUACCUUAAGCAUACGCCCUAUCUUGUAAGCUCUACUAGGUACUCUUAUUGUUUACCUUAGGCCGCUGCUGUAGCUAUUGCUAGUCAUUCUAGAUAUUUCUCUUGAUGUUAUAUCUUAACCUGUGAUAGUGGCACUACCUCCUGACCUAGUGAACAAGCUCAGCAACACUAUAUAAGCCCCGAUCUUACCUUAUAUCCAGUGAGAAGCUUGCUAGGUUAGAGACUCGGUAGCAAGACUGUGAUCUGACAUUGAGAGUAACUGGCUCGGGACUGAUGAGGAAAAUGGGGAUGAGCAUGUAGAAAGACGGUAACUCUUAUAAAACUUUGAUGAACUCAGGCUUGUUGCUGGAAGCUGUUGAAAUAAUGUCACACCCUUCAUUGCGUUGCUGGUUAUUUUGUGGUCAAGAAUUCGAUCCAAGGCGAGCUCUUGUUUGACAUCUUGCAGAAAGACGAUCAGCGAUAUAUCCUCUGAAUCUUAAUGAUUCAAUAAGUGACUAGUCUAUUUAUCUUUCAAUACAAUAGCACG
rnacentral:sRNA from 1 species